CUCCUGCUCCUCCUCCUGCUCCUCCUGCUCCAAACCUUCACCGCGGUGGUUCCUCACAUGGACUUUAACUCCCUCAUGCACUGAAACAAAUAAGAUGAAAUCAUGUUAUUCAUAAAAGUGAGAGGAGGAGGAGGAGGAGGAGCAGGAG